rnacentral:ribozyme from 1 species
AGCAAUACUGCACUGGUAGGGUAUGGAUCCGAAACCUCUUGCAGGGUUACAAAGGCUCUCCAUACCCUAUGUUAGGCUUUGGAAUUGUUAUACAAAAUUUGUUAGUAGGGUAAACGGUAAACCGCACUUCGGCUUGAACCGGUUAGAACCGAUAAAUAGAGAGAG